rnacentral:rRNA from 1 species
UACGUAGGGGGCAAGCGUUGUCCGGAUUUAUUGGGCGUAAAGAGCGCGUAGGCGGCCAAGCAGGUCCGCUGUGAAAACUCGAGGCUCAACCUCGAGACGUCGGUGGAAACCGUUUGGCUAGAGUCCGGAAGAGGAGAGUGGAAUUCCCGGUGUAGCGGUGAAAUGCGCAGAUAUCGGGAAGAACACCCGUGGCGAAGGCGGCUCUCUGGGACGGUACUGACGCUGAGACGCGAAAGCGUGGGGAGCGAACAGG